GGGGUUGUAGUUAAGUCGGUUAUAACGCCGGCCUGUCACGCCGGAGGCCGCGGGUUCGAGUCCCGUCGACCCCGCCA
rnacentral:tRNA from 2 species